AGGUGCGGAACAUGCUGUGUGCCACGGGGAUUUGGUAUUAUCACUCCUGUUUAUUGUGACUUGAGGUUUUUUCACUUCAAACUUUGACUUUAAGGACAGUCAGUAGAGUCCACUCAGAGAAGGAGUGCAUCAGAGCCAGCAGCUAGGGACACGCGCAGACUCUGUGCUCGUGCAUGUGUGCUCGUGCAUCGGAGGCACAUGCUAAUAUUGAGAGCAUGCUAGCAACGACUUAAACUAGCGCCCUUGGAAAGCGGAAUGAGAAUGCAGCAGCUCGACUGGUCUUCAACUUACCAAAGUUCUCCCACACUACAGAGAAGGGUCUAGCUGCAGACCCGCAGACCACUCAACGACACACCCCUCCACUCAACGAAACACCCCCUCACACUCAACGAAACGCCCCCUCACACUACACGACACUCUGAUUGGGUCUCAAGAGACUGCGUCUGAAACGUGAUGAAGUUUACGUUGACUGAGUAUGAAGAGAGAACCCGAAAAAGUAACACGGGAAAAACACGGGAAAAUGACGGAGGAAUAGAGCAACACUACGUUCAGUGAAGGAGCAGACCCUGAGCUGAGGAGAUGCGACUCGGACACUGAUCUGCACAAAAAAGGGAGCUAUGCGAAGCUUGUGGCUCAUCUGCAGGGACACCAAAGGUCAAUGGUGGAGUACGAUGGAUACAGUGUAUACAGAUGCCACCUUGACUGUGUGGAAAGCAGCCACUACCACUGUUGGUUUUGCACAACAAUCAUUGCGACCAAACAAUAUUUCAUCAAGCAUUUCAUAACCUGCUGCAAGACAGCAUCCACAGCAACUCCACAAUCCACAGUGACCCUAGCAACUAGGGUCACUCCACCAUCCACAGCAACUCCACCAUCCACAGUGACCCCAGCAGCCACAGUGACCCCAGCAGCCCCAGCAGCAGCCCAUCGAAAAAAAAUGUUGUUGGCAAAGCACUCUAAAACAACAUGCGGUUUUUGUAGCAAAACAGUGCUUAGAAAAAACCUCAAAACACACAUUGAAAGGCAACACAAGGUGAAAUCAUUGGACAUAACAGCAGAUCACCACCUUAACUCUGUGUGUGUUGACAGGAGAAUUGGAAUUUUUGCAGUGUCAAGAUCUUUUAAGGGUACUGCACACUACAUCCAUGCCCAAAAAUGUACCUGGGGUAGUAACCCUAGUAGGCCUAUAUUAAACACACCUUUUUGUAACAGACAGGUUGCCAUGAUGUUGAAAGUUUGCAAAAACAAAUGAAAUUAUUCAAAACG